AGUCUAGCCAGCUCCUUGGUUUUGCACCCCUGCCUGUCACAGGUGCCUCAUCUUAGGAACCUAUUUAGCCUUGUACUGCAGAGAUCUCGAGAUGGAAGGAUUUCCCCAAGUGAGGAGCUCAUUUAGUAGACAGUUGGUUGGUAGUGUAGGACCUGCCAAAGAUGGGAUACAUUGACGUUGUGGCAGGCUUAUGCAAUGUAUGAUCAUAUAAUGUAACUAAACCCCCAUUGCCUAGAUCAGGUGUUUUUAAUAAAACUAGCAAAAUCUAUCAGCACCAAAGUAGCUGUUCAGUAGAUAAGGGAGUGCGCUG